AGUGAACGCUGGCGGUAGGCCUAACACAUGCAAGUCGAACGGCAGCGCAGUAAGAGCUUGCUCUUACGGGUGGCGAGUGGCGGACGGGUGAGGAAUACAUCGGAAUCUACUUUUUCGUGGGGGAUAACGUAGGGAAACUUACGCUAAUACCGCAUACGACCUACGGGUGAAAGCAGGGGAUCUUCGGACCUUGCGCGAUUGAAUGAGCCGAUGUCGGAUUAGCUAGUUGGCGGGGUAAAGGCCCACCAAGGCGACGAUCCGUAGCUGGUCUGAGAGGAUGAUCAGCCACACUGGAACUGAGGCACGGUCCAGACUCCUACGGGAGGCAGCAGUGGGGAAUAUUGGACAAUGGGCGCAAGCCUGAUCCAGCCAUACCGCGUGGGUGAAGAAGGCCUUCGGGUUGUAAAGCCCUUUUGUUGGGAAAGAAAAGCAGCAGGUUAAUACCCCGCUGUUCUGACGGUACCCAAAGAAUAAGCACCGGCUAACUUCGUG
rnacentral:rRNA from 1 species